ACUUCAGGAGGGGAAGAGAGGAAGUGCGCUGGGCAAAGAGGAAACGAUGUCACAGGACACACUUUUGCUGUCUUUGCUGCUGUCGCCUAAGAGGUGGACACAGCUCCCGAGGACUUACGAAGCCAAGCCAGUCUCCUCACCUGAAAAAUGGGAAGAGCAAAAUAUCCUACCCUAGAGGGUUGCUGUGAGAGCCGAAAGCGUCUAUCCACGUGAAGCACAUGGGACAGAGCCUGGCACAAAGAAAAUGCUUCCCAGCUCCAUCAGCCCACCGCCCCCUCUGGCCUUCCCUCAAGAGCAGCCACUGGGCCUUGGUUGCCAUGGAGACAGUUUCCCUCAGAGGCUUUGCCUCCCAUCUUCUUUUCUUUUCUUUUCUUUUUUCUUUUUUUUUAAUUUGAGACAAGAUCUCGCUUUGUCACCCGGCCU
rnacentral:lncRNA from 1 species